GACGAACGCUGGCGGCGUGCCUAAUACAUGCAAGUUGAGCGCUGAAGGUUGGUACUUGUACCAACUGGAUGAGCAGCGAACGGGUGAGUACCGCGUGGGGAAUCUGCCUUUGAGCGGGGGACAAAAUUUGGAAACGAAUGCUAAUACCGCAUAAAAACUUUAAACACAAGUUUUAAGUUUGAAAGAUGCAAUUGCAUCACUCAAAGAUGAUCCCGCGUUGUAUUAGCUAGUUGGUGAGGUAAAGGCUCACCAAGGCGAUGAUACAUAGCCGACCUGAGAGGGUGAUCGGCCACAUUGGGACUGUGACACGGCCCAAACUCCUACGGGAGGCAGCAGUAGGGAAUCUCCGGCAAUGGACGAAAGUCUUACCGAGCAACGCCGCGUGAGUGAUUAAGGUUUUCGGAUCGUAAAACUCUGUUGGUAGAGAAGAACGUUGGUGAUAGUAGAAAGCUCAUCAAGUGACGGUAACUACCCAGAAAGGGACGGCUAACUACGUG
rnacentral:rRNA from 1 species